GAUACCUAUGUCUACCUGUGUAUAAAGAGAUCGCCAUUAGACAUGUGUCUUAAAAAGAACUGUUGAUUAAAUCUAUCUAUAUGUGCAGAUGGACAUUUUGAAGUUCUCCUAUGUCAAAAGAAUUCUGAUCUUCGAAGUCCACAUAUUUUAGGAUCGUAUGUCACUGGAAAGUCCACUAUGUCUCCAUAAUAUCAGUGUUUACAGCACUAACUAAAGGACGUGCUGGAUGAGAUACCUAUGUCUACCUGUGUAUAAAGAGAUCUCCAUCAGACCUGUGUCCUAAAAAGAACUGUUGAUUAAAUCUCUCUGUAUGUGCAUAUGGACAUUUUGAAGUUCUCCUAUGUCAAAAGAAUUCUGAUCUUUGAAGUCCACAUAUUUUAGGAUCGUAUGUCACUGGAAAGUCCACUAUGUCUCCAUAAUAUCAGUGUUUACAGCACUAACUAAAGGACGUGCUGGGUGAGAUACCUAUGUCUACCUGUGUAUAAAGAGAUCUCCAUCAGACCUGUGUCCUAAAAAGAACUGUUGAUUAAAUCUCUCUGUAUGUGCAUAUGGACAUUUUGAAGUUCUCCUAUGUCAAAAGAAUUCUGAUCUUUGAAGUCCACAUAUUUUAGGAUCGUAUGUCACUGGAAAGUCCACUAUGUCUCCAUAAUAUCAGUGUUUACAGCACUAACUAAAGGACGUGCUGGGUGAGAUACCUAUGUCUACCUGUGUAUAAAGAGAUCUCCAUCAGACCUGUGUCCUAAAAAGAACUGUUGAUUAAAUCUCUCUGUAUGUGCAUAUGGACAUUUUGAAGUUCUCCUGUGUCAAAAGAAUUCUGAUCUUUGAAGUCCACAUAUUU